rnacentral:tRNA from 1 species
GCACCGCUAGCUCAAUUGGCAGAGCAACUGACUCUUAAUCAGUAGGUUCGGGGUUCGAUUCCCUGGCGGUGUA